rnacentral:rRNA from 1 species
CAACUUGAGAGUUUGAUCAUGGCUCAGAACGAACGCUGGCGGCAGGCCUAACACAUGCAAGUCGAACGCUGUAGCAAUACAGAGUGGCGCACGGGAGAGUAACGCGUGGGAACCUACCUUUUGGUUUGGGAUAACGUCGGGAAACUGACGCUAAUACCGGAUAAGCCCUUCGGGGGAAAGAUUUAUCGCCGAUAGAUGGGCCCGCGUUAGAUUAGCUUGUUGGUGAGGUAACGGCUCACCAAGGCAACGAUCUAUAGCUGGUCUGAGAGGAUGACCAGCCUCACUGGGACUGAGACACGGCCCAGACUCCUACGGGAGGCAGCAGUGGGGAAUAUUGGACAAUGG